AGCAGCCGCGGUAAUUCCAGCUCCAAUAGCGUAUAUUAAAGUUGUUGCAGUUAAAAAGCUCGUAGUUGAAUUUCGGGAUCAAUACGUCGGUCGUGCUUCGGUACGUACUGGCGUAAUUGAUUUCUCCCUUCUGACGAACCAUGAUGUCAUUAACUUGGUGUCAUGGGAAAUCAGGACUGUUACUUUGAAAAAAUUAGAGUGUUUAAAGCAGGCUCACGCUUGAAUACAUUAGCAUGGAAUAAUGAAAUAGGACGUUCGAUCCUAUUUUGUUGGUUUUUAGGAUCAACGUAAUGAUUAAUAGGGAUAGUUGGGGGCAUUAGUAUUCAAUUGUCAGAGGUGAAAUUCUUGGAUUUAUUGAAGACUAACUACUGCGAAAGCAUUUGCCAAGGAUGUUUUCAUUAAUCAAGAACGAAAGUUAGGGGAUCGAAGACGAUCAGAUACCGUCGUAGUCCUAACCAUGAACUAUGCCGACUAGGGAUCGGAUGAUG
rnacentral:rRNA from 1 species